AACGAACGCUGGCGGCAUGCCUAACACAUGCAAGUCGAACGAGACCUUCGGGUCUAGUGGCGCACGGGUGCGUAACGCGUGGGAACCUGCCCUUAGGUUCGGAAUAACUCCCCGAAAGGGGUGCUAAUACCGGAUAAUGUCUUCGGACCAAAGAUUUAUCGCCUUUGGAUGGGCCCGCGUUGGAUUAGCUAGUUGGUAGGGUAAAAGCCUACCAAGGCGACGAUCCAUAGCUGGUCUGAGAGGAUGAUCAGCCACACUGGGACUGAGACACGGCCCAGACUCUUACGGGAGGCAGCAGUGGGGAAUAUUGGACAAUGGGCGAAAGCCUGAUCCAGCAAUGCCGCGUGAGUGAUGAAGGCCUUAGGGUUGUAAAGCUCUUUUACCCGGGAUGAUAAUGACGGUACCGGGAGAAUAAGCUCCGGCUAACUCCGUG
rnacentral:rRNA from 1 species